GGACUGGUGGUUCAGUGGUAGAAUUCUCACCUUCCAUGUGGGAUACCCAGGUUUGAUUCCUGGCCAAGGCA
rnacentral:tRNA from 1 species